CACUGAUUUGAAGACGACGGAGAUUGACAUGGAUGCUACAGUUACGAUCAAGCAGGGACCAAGAACAAACUGAGGCACUCUGUUCUGGUGCUCAGAUAUCGUCAGACUCUCCCAGGAUCUAAAAGCAAAACUGAGAGACUGCAAUGAAGAAUCCCUCUAUAGCUGUGUGCGACGAUAUGGACAGUCAGACAGGACUGCCUAAAUGCCAGCAGCAUAACGGACAGGAAAUUUCCAACAUCUGCUGCAGUUUUUUUUUUGGUUUCCAUUUACAGUGGAAUGAGGGCACCCGUCAAGAAUGUCUCAUUCCUGCUAUUUAUGUUGUCUGUCUCAAUGAAACAACAUCACACAGAAGGGAGUUCAGAAGCCCAAGGACAAGGUGGCAGUGACAGCAAUCAGCUUGUCUUCUCAACACAAGUCGAAAAGCAGACUGUUAGUAUCUGAAUCCCAGAUCUACAAGUCAGUCUGGGGCAUCCAAACUGGGAGACAAUUUUGCCAUACUCACCAUUAAACAGAGAGUUAUUUUGCACCAGAUCACACCGACCUUUCAGUUCCUGGUUACAACUUCCCCUUUUUAUGAACUCAAAUCUACAUAUUUUAAAAUGGCACACAAUAAUUACUUAAAAACACAAAGUUCAGAAGCAGGGCUGAAUGGAAUGAUCUGUCUGCUGGGAACUUUCUAUGAGAUGGAUGUUUUUGACUGAAAAGUGGUUUGCCAAGUAUUUUGGAAACUGAGAGAUUGUUUUGAAGUCUUUUUGGUCAAUAAUUUAAACUUAGUCAUGGUUUUCCUACCCGAAGUUUAGUCAUACCUAUUCUUGGUGUUGCAAAGUACAACUCCCUUUCAAAGUUUUAUUCAACCUUAUUCUGGCAAUUUUCCUAGGUCAUAUUUUCCAAGAUUAUUAUUUUUCCCCUAUGAUUCACAGCACUGGAACAGGAAGAGGAAGCUAAACAGAACUCUUGAACAAGUAAGGGGAAGCCGGCUUCAUUCUCAAAAACCUGGGGGCACAAAUUUACAAUAAUUGGCAAUUAAAUAGAGAUGAAAUGGGUUAGCACACAUAUUGAGCCAAAUGUGUUUGUCUGCUUCAUCUCCAACAAAAUGGAGUGGCGCUACUGGACAUCAUCAUUUUUAUUUGAGGAAAAUGUUGCUUGGUGUUGGACAGAGAUUGGAUCCAAUUGCAAGGGGAUGUGCUCCUUUCUCAGGACUACCAAUUAAUUAAUUGGGUUAUUCCACUUGGCACUCUGUAGGAAUGGUGGUUAGGCUGCUCCAUGGCCACUAAUUGUGAGCCAUUUGUGCAUUAUAAGACCAUAAGGUAGAGGAGCAGAAUUAGGCCUUUUGGCCCAUCAAGUCUGCUCUGCCACUCCAUCACGGCUGAUCCACUUCCCUCUCAGUCCCAGUCUGCUGCCUUCUUCCCGCAUCCCUUCAUGCACUAACCAAUCAAGAAUCUAUCAACCUCUGCCUUAAAUAUACCCAGUAAUUUGGCCCCCCACAGCCGCUUGUGGCAAUGGCUUCCGCAGUUUCACCACUCUCUGGCUAAAGGAUCCUGGAAUCAUUUUUGUGAACCUCCUUUGAAUCCUCCCCAAUAUCAGAACAUUCUAACCUCCCUUGUGCUUUAUAAAGCCUCAAUAUUACAAUCUUGGUUUUAUAUCUUGGCAUUUGCUUUCCUCACCACCGACUCAACCUGCAAGAUUCUCAGAUUCUCAACCUGAGAAUCCUGCACGAGGACUCCCAAGCCACUUUGCACCUCAGAUUUAAAAAUUUUCUCUCUACUUAGAAAAUAGUCUACACCUUUAUCUCUUCUACCAAAGUGCAUGACUAUACAUGUCCUGACACUAUUUCAUCUGCCUCUUCCUUGCCCAUUCUGCUAACCUAAGUAAGUCCUUCUGUAGACUCUGCUUCCUCAAACUAUCUGCUCCUCCACCUAUCUUUGUAUCGCCUGCAAGCGUUGCAACAAAGCCAUCAAUUCCAUCAUCCAAAUCAUUGACAUAUAACACAAAAAGUAUUGUUAUUUCUUCAAAGAAUUCCAACAGAUUGGUCAGACAAGAUCUUCCCUUAAGAAAACCAUGCUGUCUAUCGCCUAUUUUAUCGUGUGCCUCUAAGCAGCCCAAACCACAUCCUUAACAAUCGACUCCAACAUCUUCCAAGCCCCUGAGGUCAGACUAACUGGCCUAUAAUAUGCUUUCUUCUGCCUUUCUCCCUUCUUGAAGAGUGGAGUGAUAUUUACAAUAUUUCUGUUCUCUGGAACCAUUCUAGAAUCCAAUGAUCCUUGAAAGAAUAUUACUAAUGCCUCCGGGGUGUAUGGGGUGUCCGGGGAGGGGUAGCACCUUCGGUGGUGGGCUUGUUGUGCUCCGCGCAGGGGCAACUCAGCCACCUUUGGUUGCUCCUGCCAGCCGGCUCUCACCUGUCACUCCAAGUGAUCGUUUGCAUGUGACAGUGGCCACGCCCCAGUGCACCGCUUCAACAGGCCGGCUAAACCAGGUGAGGGUAGCUGGGAACCUCCAACCCCGGUGAGAUAGGGAGAUGACGACCCCAGCAUGUGAAGCCAGCUCUGGCACAAUGGGCAAAUGAGAUCAACUGCAUGCUCCAAAGGGCAAGAAGGCGGUGCUGCAACACUUCACGGAGAGCGAAGGGUAGGACAAGGCACAGAAGGCAACAUGUCUAUCCACUGCAGCUGAGGAAGUAUCCAGACGUGAUGGUUUUUCAUAGCAUUGGUCCAAGAUUUUUGAGGCCAAGAGAGUGGAACUGCCCCAGUGCAAUGUUUUUUUUUCCCCACAAUAAAACUUCUCCCGCACAGGUUUUAUCUGUACAGCACAGACAAACGUCAUCGUCGGAAACAAUGAACAACCAACACUAAUGCCUCCACAAUCUCCUCAGCUACCUUCUUUCAGAACCCUGGAAUGUGGACCAUGUGGUCCAGGUGACCAAUCUACCAUCAGGCCUUUCAGCUUCCCAGGCACCAUCUCCCUAGUAAUGGCAACUUCACACACUUAUGGCCCCUUACACUCAAGUUUCUGAGAUACCGCUAGUGUCUUCAACAGUGAAGAAUGAUGUAAAAUACCUAUUCAGUUCAUCCGCCAUUUCCUUUGCCCCCAUUACUACUUCUCCAACUUCAUUUUUUAGCAGUCCAAUAGCAAUUCUCACCUCUUUUACACUUUAUACUGUAUAUCUGAAGAAACUUUUGGCAUCCUUGUUAAUAGUAUUGGCUAGCUUACCUUUGUAUAUCAACUUUUCAUUCUUUAUGACUUCUUUUUAGUAGCCUUCUGUUGGUUUUUAAAAGCUUCCCGAUCCUCUAACUUCCCAAUACUUUUUGCCCUAUUAUAUGCCCACUUUUUAGCUUUUAUGUUGGCUAUGACCUCUUGUCAGCCAUGGUUGUGUCAUCCUGCCUUUAGACUACUACUUCUUUGGGAUGUAUCUAACCAGUACCUUCCAUCCAUUGCUGCUCUGCCAUCAUCCCUGCUAGUGUUCCCUUCCAAUCAAUUUUGGCCAGCUCCUCUCUCAUGCCUCUGCAAUUCCCUUUACUCCAUUAUAAUACUGAUACAUCUCCUUCUUCGUACUGUCCACAAUUACAGGAUGAAACUAAACAUCCUCCACCCAAGAGCGUAUUACAUCAUGACCCUGAACACCCCCCACCCAAGAGUGUAUUACUACCUACAUUGCUGCGUGUGGGGCACUGGCUUUUGUGCUAAAUGAUUGCACAUUCCCCAAGAUGUGGCAAUGACUCGAUUUCAAAGAUGUUUCAUUGGAGUUAAAGCACUUUGAAACACCCUCUUAUUGUGGAGGAAGCUGUCUUAUUAUGCAUGCAUAACGAAGAACUUCAGUUUCCAGUGGGAGAUACGAGGGGCUCACCCGAAAGUGGAAGCUACUAUGGUGACCAGAUUGCACGCGGACAGGGUUGAGUGGCAGUUCAGUAAUAAAAUGUGUUAAUGCAAAUCC